rnacentral:rRNA from 1 species
CAGCCGCCACGGGAAUACAGAGGGUGCGAGCGUUAAUCGGAUUUAAUGGGCGUAAAGCGUGCGUAGGCGGCUUUUUAAGUCGGAUGUGAAAUCCCUGAGCUUAACUUAGGAAUUGCAUUCGAUACUGGGAAGCUAGAGUAUGGGAGAGGAUGGUAGAAUUCCAGGUGUAGCGGUGAAAUGCGUAGAGAUCUGGAGGAAUACCGAUGGCGAAGGCAGCCAUCUGGCCUAAUACUGACGCUGAGGUACGAAAGCAUGGGGAGCAAACAGGAUUAGAUACCCCUGUAGUCCCUGUCUCUUAUAC